rnacentral:sRNA from 1 species
UUACAAAUUUUCCACCACGGCGGUGCGC